GUCCCGGUGGCACAAUUGGAUAGCGCGUCGGCCUCCGAAGCCGAAGGUUAGAGGUUCGAAUCCUCUCCGGGAUA
rnacentral:tRNA from 1 species